UGGACGCCGGAGCUCCGGUCCGACCGUCGACGACAGUAAGCUCAGUUCAGCCUGUCGGUUCAACAAAGUGCAGCUUGGCUAAGGGUAGUUUCGGGUCAGAUUAUAGUUUCGGGUCAACACCGGGUCAAACCCGGUCAGAGCUGGUCAAAGACGGUAAACGGGUCAAGUCUCGAGCUUCGGGUCGGCAGUGGUCAAGUCAGUUUUGGUCAGCCGGUUCGGGUCAAGCGGCUUGGUCAGAUGAUUCGGUUCAGUUGACUCGGUCAACUCAGUGAGUGUUUCGACACGAAGAUUUGGAAUAUUGUAGAAUGCACGCUAGCGAGUCACGUCUUGGAAACGGCAUCACGGAGUCGUAUUUAGCUAGCUUUGCACAUGGAAAUCCAGGUGAGUUCAUAACCCCCACUUUUUACUGUUUUACAUUUUUAUA